AGAUGCAUGCUUUUACUGCCUCAUUCAGUUAUGGUCGUGUACAUUUUUUGAAAACUAGACAUGUUCAGGCAAAAAACUAACAUGACCAAUGAAUGCCAGCGAAGUGACUACAUCUACAUAUAAACCACAUACUGGCAGUAAAAACAUCACAUGAAUACCUUGGUACUGCUCAAUUAAAUAUCUUCUAAAUGAGAAAAUUAUGAAUAUCUUUGAUGGUUGUGUACAUUUACAGUUGUCUCUUGGUGUGCUAAUAGCUUCUCGAUUUUUCAAUUGACCAUCACUGACAGGCAUGGGUUCAAGUUUUGUGUUAAUAGCUUCUCAAUUUUUUUAGUUGUCUCUUGGUGUAUCCAUAACCUUGGAUGUCUACAUGUAAAUUAUGAAUAUCUUUUGUUAACUUGGCGUUGUGUCAUAUGAUUUGAAAAAUGUAGAUUAUUUCUGUCCUGAUUGCAAAUCAAAAAGUAAAACAGUUCCAGCGAUUGAAAAUUUGAAUAGUUCCAAUACUUCAGAGUAAGUCAUUUAUUGCUCCCUAACCAAUGGAUACAAAGCAACUUGAAUGAAGGUUUGCUGGUAUAAAUUACUUGGCAUAUUGCUAUGGUUGGCAACCCUUUUUCUUAAUUUAACGAGGAUAUUUCCUCUGCUUCUAUGGAACCCUUCUCUUACUAAAAGAUAAUUCUUAGUACCAAGACAUAAUGCAGAGCUAAUACUUGAAACCUCAGUUUUGAGCAGAUUAAUCGCGGUGCAUGGUCAGCCUAGCUUGCCAAUCUCUUUUGAUUUGAUCUAUAUUUGAGUGUGGCUCAUGUUGAGCUUCACCCAGUCAUUGCUUUGUUUUUCCUUUUUUAGAAAUAAAUCAUAUAGCCAUUGUCACUCCUUAAACUAAUUUAGUUAGGCCAUCAGUUGGGUUUCAUGUGCUGCGACCACUUGCUUAGUUAGUCCUUAAAAAAACUCGCUCUAAAAUUUUGUCCACCUUGCCACAUCGAACUGCCAGCUUAAGCAGUUCAUCAGUAGCUCAAUAGAAAUUGAGCAUUUAAUACCUUGGUUUUGCGUUCAGAAAUUUGUCUUUUGCAGGUACAAUUGGACUGGAUUUGGUAAAACCACUUAGGUUAACGAGAUAAGGGAUUUUUUAAUUAGGCAUAAAUUGAGGGAUUUUUUUUAGUUAGGCAUAAAUUGGAUUCAAAUCUUGGGUUCGCCACCGAUGGUUCGUAAAGAUAAACAUGGGAGCUUAAUGUUUUAUUUUGUUCACAUGUCAAAGCAAUUGGAAGCCUCUCUUUUUUGUAGGAAUCUAUAGAUAAAUGCACAGUUGAAAUUGAUGCUUAGUCACACCAGUAGUCUGCUCCUCAGGUUUUGCUGGUCUCACGCUUCUUAUCAUAGGUGACGAGAGCAAAGUCAAGAAGGAAAUACUUGGCCCCUUGCCCCCCCCCUCCUCUCAAGGUUGGUUUCUUUGGUCAUCCCUUGUACUGGUUUGGCUCUGCUAUUCUUACUGGUUCUUAUUGGAUAUGUUGACUGGUUCUUAUUUUCCAGCUUACAUAAGGAAUGCUCAGAUUCUUAGUUAAUGUCAACCGAUUCAUUUCUGUAACUAUGUUCUGUUUUUGCAUUUUGCUAGAGCAUUUCUCCAGCUCCACCAAAAUCACUAUCAGGUGCUAAAGAUGUUCCUGUUCCUUCAAGGUCGCUGCAAAUUGAUAGGUUCAUUCCAGCCCCCCCUCCCAAAGAUUAUCGCAAGUUGAUAAAGUUGCUCUGCCUUCUUCAGAACAGCCACAUAUAUCUCCAGCUACUAAUUCUGAAGCCCAAGGGGCAACUACUUCUAGGAAGGUCACAGUCAGCUCAGUUUUGGAAGUUGCUGCAGCAUCGAGGCCUUCAAGUGCUCCUCUAUUACCCACACCAAGAUCAACUGCACCAGUUGCUUCACAUAUUCAAACUUCCACGUUGCUUUCCCGCUCGAUGAGUGAGGCAGCUGGGAGAAGGUCAGUAAAUGAUCCUUCCUUUUCUGCCCCAUCUUAUACUCCCCAGACCUACCGAAAUGCAAUAAUUGGUAAGACUGGUCUGGCUACUAUCUCUGCAAGCCUUGCAUAUCAGUCAUAUUCUCUGGGUCAAGAUACUGCUCCUUCACAGCCUCUAUCAGCAUAUGCAUCAAGCACAACAGUCAUGAUGCCUCCUGCUGGAAGAUCUGAUCAAUCAUCAGCUAGGCAUGGAUUCAAGCCUGGGUCUGGUAAGCUAGAAGCACAUGACAGCUGGCAGCAGUGGAAAGGUGAUAAUAAUGUUGAUUGCAGGCUUACCGAGCAUAAAUCUGAGGUAAUGGUUUCAUGUUUCCUUAUAAUAUGACUUUUUAUAUGUACCAUUGCAUCAAUCUUCUGAUGAUCGUUUACAUCUUCUGAAAUUCUAGCUUGAGUAGAAAGGAGGCUUUCCUAAGGCAUUGCUAAUCAUGUUCUCACGGCGCAUUGGUCAGAGCUUCUAUGUUCAUAUAUUGCAUGUUUAUUACUUUUACUACUACUUCAGUCGUAGUUCAGUUCAUCACUCUCCCGCUGUUCACUUUCAGACAUGACACAAGCACAGAUCGGAACACUUGCUGUAUAUGAACUCAAGAAUGCCAAGUAAGCAUACAAAGUCCCCACUAGGAAACUGUUAUAUGAACACCUUGUCAUGCUGAGUUCAUAUACACCUUCAGAGAACCGAUAGGGGCAUACAAAGCUUGGCACAUAUAACAGUUUGUCUUCUGCAAGGAUGAAGGUUCUGUUGAUUUUAACUACUAGAGCGGCGCUUCCAACAAGUUUAUGUUGAUCAGCCUUCAGUUGAAGAUACAAUUUCAAUACUCCGAGGACUAAGAGAGAGAUAUGAGUUGCACCAUGGUGUACGAAUAUCUGACAGUGCCCUUGUAGCUGCAGCUGUUCUUUCAGACCGUUAUAUCAGUGGACGAUUCUUGUCUGACAAAGGUGAUUUAUUUGACUCAUUGCCAUCUUAAUUGAAACUAACCUGCUAGAUGAGGAGAUAUUAUUACGGCCACUACUGUAAGAUCUUAUGUGGUCUUUCUAAUGAGAGGUUAUGCUCUGUUGCAGCUAUUGAUCUGGUUGAUGAAUCAGCUGCCAAAUUAAAAAUGGAGAUAACAUCAAAACCUACUGCUCUGGAUGAGAUCGAUCGUGUUGUCCUAAAGAUUGAAAUGGAGCGUCUCUCACUUACAAAUGAUACAGACAAAGCAUCAAAGGACAGACUAUCUCGUCUUGAAGCAGAACUAUCACUCUUGAAGGAUAAACAACAUCAGUUGACUGAGAAGUGGGAGCACGAGAAAUCAGUGAUGACUAAAAUUCAAUCUAUCAAAGAAGAGAUUGACAGGGUAAAUGUGGAGAUACAGCAGGCAGAACGUGAGUACGAUCUUAAUCGAGCUGCUGAACUGAAAUAUGGCAGCCUGAAUGCCUUGCAGCGCCAGCUUCAAACGACAUAGAAGGAGCUUGAUGAAUAUCAGAGUUCUGGGAAAUCCAUGCUAAGGGAAGAGGUGACCCAAGACGAUAUUGCAUAAAUAGUGAGCAGGUGGACAGGCAUUCCAGUUUCUAAACUAAAGCAAUCUGACAGGGAGAAAUUGUUGUAUCUGGAGGAAGAGCUGCACAAGCGAGUUGUCGGUCAGGAUCCUGCUGUAAAAGCAGUUGCAGAGGCCAUUCAGAGAUCCAGAGCUGGAUUAUCUGACCCAAACCGUCCUAUUGCCAGUUUCAGGCUCUUUUGCAUGCGUCGGUUGCAUUUUCCCAGAUAUUUGUAUGCAAUGUUUUGUAUGCGUCGAUUUGCAACAAGGCAACAUAUCCUAUUAGCUGGAGACUAAGCUAGCUAACUGUUAAGAGAGUUUGAGUCUCCAGAUGUGAACAAACUCCCUGUAACUACUUGGUUCAGUAUUUUGAUCGACAUCAAUAAGAUUUUCUUCAUAUUGAAAUUUUCCGGUGAGUGCGUCUAAACUUGUCGCUGCAUAGAUGCUCCCUGUAACUACUUUUGCAUGCGUCAGACGUGGAGAGUUUGAGUCUCCAGGGAGUUUGUAACUAUGCUGCGACAAACUUUGUAUAUUAGUUUAGUGACUUAUUAGUGAGUCUAAACUUACCGACACAAAUUAGGGUGAGACAAACUUUAGACUCACUAACAUGUAUCCUAUUAAUGUUUUUCCGGUGAGCAGCCGCCCUCGGCUUUCCCUCCCCUCCCUCCUUGCCCUGUGCACUGCUCGGUUGUUUGGUGGCCAUUAAUUUACACGCUACCAAAAAAACACGCAGCCCUCACGCUUUCCGGCUCCUCCCCUCCUCCGCCGUUAGGCUUGCCGCACAGCGGCUUUACACUGUUUCGACUUCGCCUCUUCCUCCGUGACCACGCGCGAUAGACCAAACAGCACGAGUAAGGGCCGACUGAAGUCUCGAUGGCGAAUCGGAUUCCACUCGACUCGGAUUCCAAACCGCGCGCCGAUAGCCAUCCGAAUGACUGAUAUUUUGCAGGUUCUUAUGUCAUGGAAAUUCAACGGAUGUCACGCCCUUUUCGUAAUAGAUCAUGUUAAAAAGCAUGUGACUUUUAUCCACUUUACACCGACUCAAGAUUGGUGUAAACACAUGCCAUACAAGAGGUUUGCGGAAGCGAUUGUCAUGGCCUCAAAGAAAUAUAAGAUUGCUUACAGCAAGAAACGUUCUCGAUGGGCGGAGGAUAUCUUUAAGUGGGAACAUACAAUUCAGACUGGUGUUCCAAUUGACUUAAGAGGGUAUUUUCUUCGUACCACCUCAGCAGUUUAAAUUUUUUCUAUGAUAAUCAUUGUAUAAAACAUAGUUGCCCAAACAUUAUAUUAUAGGUUUAAUACCAGCUACCUCGUUCUACAGGCUAUGGCCAUAUGGGGGAAUGACAGACGAAUGAAAUUUGUUGGGGAUGCAAAGAUUGUUCGAAGGAACUUUGUGAUUGAUCUGUUAAGUUAUGAGGACAAUUCGUGCCGAUAUGCCAUCGCUGCAAACAUACAACAGAGACUUAUCGAUAUCACUAAAAAGAAUUAGCUGAUUAGUGUGAUAUUGAUAAUGUUUUCCACACGGAUUUUGCAUAUUAUAGUGAUGUUUGUCGUUUUGUAUUAAUGUUUCAUACAAAUCUUUUACUUCUGUCGCAACGCACGGACACAUAACUAUAAUAUACAACAGAGACAUAUAAGUUAUCGUGUUAUUAUUCGGUUCCGUUGCAACGCACGGGCACUCACCUAGUUAUUAUUAUACGAAUGCGAAUGCGACGAGUGCCUGUCUCGCUGGCAGAUUCCAUCAAUCAAUGGAAGAUAAAGAUAGGUAGGUUGGUCACCACCUUAGCGAUCGAGAUAGCCAGCUCCUCAUACUUGAUCUUGAUCACUCGGUUCAGAUGAGGCGAUGCCACAGAUAAAAAGUACGAAAUGGAUGUUCAGCGAGGGACGUUGGUUACUUUGUGAUGACAGAACAGAACAGCUGUAGUAUUGAACAACUUGAACGGACCAGCAAUUAAACACAACAUUCACCUUGUUCGAUAGCCUUAACGCGCGCAUUGAUACCACUGCACAGUUACCAUUACCACCGAGCGAGAGAACGAGAGAGAGAGAGAUGCACACCUGAUGGUCACCGCGACAUCAGCUGGUUGGGUUUUCUUGGGAGGAACGGUGUAGCCCGUCUCGAAGUU